rnacentral:lncRNA from 1 species
ACAGAAUGCCAUCUGCUGUGUCACAGACAAAGAAAAUUGUGUGACUGAAAAAGUACACAAAAUUUCUACUCACUGGAGCUUGUACCCUAUGAAAUCACAUGGUGAAAAAUGACGAUCUGCAUCCACUUGGUACUUGAAAAAUAAACCUUUGGGGAGGUGCUGUUAUCUAUCAAGGCAUCAACCCGCAUGGAUUCAGGGAGCUUCGAAAGUCUGAAUAUUUUCCUGAAUAGAAGUGUGGGUUUCCUUGUUUGUCAUAUUUGUGUUUGCCAGAUCUCAUAUACUGAUACAAGAAUCAUACUGACCUCCACUUGUAUUUCUGUCCUGAAAGAUUCGAGAGUACUGUUUAUGCGAAAAGCUUGUUUUAUUCUAUCAUUUGCGAAGAUUCGUUUGAGAACUAGAGCACGGUUAUGCUUGUUCUCUGCGCUGAUCUGAUGAUGGUUUUAUAGCAACAACCACCAUACAAACAUCUGGAAUAGCAACAUUGAACAGUUGUCCCAAGAAUGAUUCUGAAUAUGAAGUGUAUACCCUAACAAAAUGAAAUUUAAAAACAAAAAUUACCAUUAGCAGAAGGGAACGAAACAAGCAAUAUGUGAGCAUUUCACCAUACAUGGACGCCAGCACCGUUGUUUUUUAUUUUUUAUUUUUAAGUAGACGCCAGCAUGAUUUUGCCCAUAUCAAAUGAAGAGAAGUAAAGCAAAGCCACAAAACUCAUAAAAACGGUAUCACAGCUUCAAUAAUUUGGGUUUGUUAGAUUGUCAAUGGAUUGUUGUAGUCCCUCUCAUCCAUAUUAAUUGCCGCAGCUUUUGUACAACUUUAUAUGGAUCAGAGGAAGUACUUUUUUUUUCCUUAGGAAACACACUCAACCAAAGCCACUCAUUCAACUGUGUAUUUUUAGCAUCCCCUGUUUCUAGCCUACAGGCUGGCUUCUGUGCCACCAGCUAAAACAUUUGGCGACUAUAUUUCAACGCGCUCGGGCCUAAAAUUCAGGCCAAAAUUCCCCACCAUUUUGGAGCCAUGCAAACAAAAUUGUGAUCCUAACUUCGGGGGCAGUUCAUUCACAUGUAGAUGGAUUUUUACCCCAAACAAAUUUUGCCUCAGUCAAGACAAGUAUUGGAUGCAGUUUCUUCCUAGACAAGGGUGCCUCAUAGGCUUAUGCAUUUGAUAGUUUCUUGCUCUUAUCCCGUUUGCAAUGGAUUCUGCGAGGAGCUGGUUCAACAAGCUCCAAACGAGGGAGAAAUCCGUCGGCAAGAAGAAAGAUAUGCCUCCAAGUGGCAAGGAAGGGACCGAUGAAGCACCUUCCAGCGCUACGAAGCAAAGGGUUGCCGCGGCAAAGCAGUACAUCGAGAAGCACUACAAGGAGCAGAUGAAACAUCUACAGGACAGGAAAGAGAGGUAAGUAAUGAGGAUCCGUGCCGCAUCUUGGCCGAUUGUCAUAAGUUUUAACUGUCAAUAAGGUCUAGUAUUUUACCGGCCCAUGAUGUAAUAUGUUUGCCCAUAUGCAAAAUGAUAAUUGUGAGACCUUUCACGUGUCGUUUCCGUACAACCUUGUGAUCCCUGAUAAAAGAAAUGAUUGAAUUCAGGAAUACUUUGUGUGGUAAUUGUCCUAUAUGUAUAAGUUGUGGAUUAAUGUAAUCCUACGAACCAUUAAAGCAUUAUAUGCUCAUAACAUGAUUUUGUUCGCGAUAGGAUUUUACAUUGCUGGCCAUGUUUAAUUUCAAGAAAUAAUGCUUUAACUGGUGAUUUUUUUUUGUUUCACAAUAUAGACGGUAUAGUUUUGAAAGGAAGCUAGCAGAUGCCAAUGUGUCCGAGGAGGAGCAGAACAACAUCCUGAAGCAAUUUGAGAAGAAGGAGACAGAGUACAUGCGUUUGCAGAGGCACAAAAUGAGUGCCGAGGAUUUUGACCUGCUGACAGUGAUAGGGAAAGGAGCAUUUGGUGAGGUAAAACUUCCAUGCAAAUGUAGGCUCACUCUACGUCCUCUUUCCAUCUGUUCUUUCUUCCCAAUUUCUGCAAAAUUUUCCUUCUAGGUUAGGAUCUGCAGAGAGAAGACCACAGGGAAUGUCUAUGCAAUGAAGAAACUCAAGAAGUCAGAAAUGCUUCGCCGAGGUCAGGUAUGACUAUCUUGUGAUAAGAAUUCUGGGUGUGCGUUUACGUCGAAUUGUUCGCUCCGUCUCUGAUCAUACUUUGGAUUUCACACAGGUUGAGCAUGUCAGAGCCGAAAGGAACCUCCUUGCCGAAGUGGACCACCAUUGCAUUGUGAAGCUGUAUUGUUCUUUCCAAGAUAACGAAUUUCUGUAUCUCAUAAUGGAGUACCUUCCUGGAGGCGACAUGAUGACAUUGCUGAUGAGAAAAGACACGUUGACCGAGGACGAGGCUAGGUUCUAUGUUGGCGAAACGGUUCUCGCGAUAGAAGCAAUCCACAAGCACAGCUACAUCCACAGGUAUGUGUUCGGCUCCUAUAAAUGGUACUUUUUUUUGCGGGAACCUAUAAAUUAUACUUGGUAUUUUGGAGAUUUCCUUAUGAACUUGGUACUUGAUCUUCCAGAGAUAUCAAGCCUGAUAAUCUGCUCCUAGAUAGAUAUGGCCACUUGAGACUAUCCGAUUUUGGGCUAUGCAAACCACUUGACUAUGCAGCCUUCCCUGACUUGAAUGAGAAGGAUGUCACGCCUAAUAGAACAUCAUCGGCUCAUGGUGAUGGAAGACAACAAACUACGCCGAAACGCACACAACAAGAACAGCUGGAGCACUGGCAAAAGAACAGAAGAACUUUGGUCAGUAUUACCUACACCUUAUUGAACUGAUCAUUAAUCAUUAGUAGCUUAUCCAUAAAUAAACUAUGAGAGAGCGGGCAUUGUUGUUCGUGUUAAGUAUAUUAUAUCUCCUCUUCCUAUCCACGUCUUUUGGAAUAGUUGGUUGAUAGGAAUAUCUUAACAUGGUAUCAGACCUGAGAUCUUGUGUUCAAGUCUCAAUCCCUGCAUUUUCCCCAAUCAUUUAUCCACGCCCACGUCGGGUGUGGGGGGAGGUGUUGAUCAUUCCAUAUCCACGUCGGAUGUGAAGGGGGGGGGGUUGUUAAGUAUAUUAUAUCUCCUCUUCCUAUCAAAUCGGUCUUUUGGGAUAGUUGGUUGAUAGGAAUAUCUUAACAGUUCGUUCGGCCGCUUUUGAACUGUUUCCAUGUUUCUGACAUGCCCUUAAAUGAUUGCAGGCUUACUCCACUGUUGGUACACCCGACUACAUUGCUCCAGAAGUUCUUCUGAAGAAAGGUUAUGGGAUGGAGUGCGACUGGUAAGCAUAAUUUUCGGUAUAUCACAUGCCAUUGCAUCUGUUGAGUUUCACUCAAAUACAAAAUGGUUUCCCACUUUGUUUAGGUGGUCACUUGGUGCUAUCAUGUAUGAAAUGCUAGUGGGGUAUCCCCCAUUCUACUCGGACGAACCUAUGACAACUUGCAGAAAGGUAGUCAUGGGUAUCCCCCAUUCUACUCGGAUUUCCAAGUUUUAUUGUUCUCUGCUUUCAUCUUAUGCAAUUUUGUUCUCGUUGCGCAUAUGUGGGCCACGACAGAUUGUGAACUGGAGAACUCACCUUAAAUUUCCGGAAGAAGCACGGCUAACGCUGGAUGCAAAAGAUCUAAUAAGUAGACUCUUAUGCAGCGUUGACCAACGCCUCGGUACAAAAGGUGCAGAGGAAAUUAAGGUUGUUAUGUGUCCUUUAAGAAUGCCUUGAAACAUGCCUCCAAUCAAAUAUCUGAGUCCUUUAAAAAGAAAAGAAAAAAAUGGUGCCACUACCGAAUUUUUCUUCAUACUACUUUGCAUGUUCAAUAUUAGGAGCACAUCUGGUUUAAUGAAGUAGACUGGGAGAAAUUGUAUGAAACCGAAGCUGCAUACUUACCUCAAGUAACGGAUGAGUUGGACACUCAGAAUUUUGAGAAAUUUGAAGAGGUGGGCAGUUGGUUUUCUUCUAAAUUAUGUUCUUCUUCAUCUCCAGAAGUCAGUACAAUUUUUUUUUAAUUAUGUUGUAUUUGCAGUCUUCCGAUCAUUCUCAAGCUUCAUCAAAGACAGGCCCUUGGAGGAAGGUAAUUUGCAUUUAUAUAUAAACUCUUUCGUUAACAUUACAAAUUUCAACCUAUGUAUGCAAUAAUUUGGACCGCCUUUUCCCCCAUCUAUUCUGUCAUUUGCCUUGCAGAUGCUUUCAUCAAAGGACCUGAAUUUCGUGGGCUAUACUUACAAGAACUUUGAACUUGUGAAUGAUGAUGAAGUUCUUGAAAUGGGUACUGUGUACUUUCGACUUUCUUUAAAUAACUAUGUUUGCCUCUUCCAUUGCCACCAUUUGUUCUUGUUAUAGCCGAUUAUAUAAGCAGAUAUACCAUGAUUCGAACUGUGUGAACAUGUUGAAGUUAUUCAUCUUGUGUCAAUUUUCAAAAUUCAUGAGUUUGUUAUGCCACAAGUUAUUUUUUAGGUAGAAACAAAUCUAUUUUGAAUCAUGAACUGCUGUGCUUGGUCUGACUUGAGCCUUAAACUAUGAAUCAAUCAAUAUGAACCCAAAACUUUCUAAUCCCGUCUAACAUGAACCCUAAUCUGGCUUUGAAAAGUAGUUUCAUUACACCUGUCACAAAUGUUAAAAGUGAUUUAGGAUGUAUGGAAUUAUAUGAAAUUAGAAACCGCAAACAUUCCUCCAAAUAUUGGAAUGUUUACGAGAGAAUCCCUUUUUUUUUGUGUGUGGAAUACAAUGAUCUUAUUAGUUGAAUUUGUUUCCUUUGUUCUUCAUAGCACUCUCCAUCCCCAUGAGUAGUUGUAUUCGAGAAUUUUUUUUACAUCUCCAUGAGUAGUUUAAGAUUUUUUUUCGAAACCUUAGACGACAUAACAACCUUUCAAGACUUGACCUUCUUAUUUAAAUAGUGACUCUGAAAGUCUGAAUCUUCAGAGUUUCAGGAAAUUCUGAGGAAAUUUACGAACAGCCAUAAACAGUGCCAUGCUAUACCGUUACCAUUUUCUUGCUCACUAACAAUGCCUUGUUUAACCCACUGCGCGCGCACACAGCUGGUCUGAAGAAGAAGGAGAAGGCGAAGAGACCAAGCGUCAAAUCCCUCUUCGGUACGCACCAUUCUCGUGCUCAGCUGUGAUAUGUUUCUCUUGACGAAAAACUUAUGCUGCUAUAAUCACGUAGAUGAGCCUGACGGAGAGGAGGAGCAGCAAGCGUCCGGCGAAGACGACGAUGACGGCGAAGGCAGCGUCCGGAACCGGAAGACGGAGCCCGAGCCCGAGCUGACGAGGAGCCUCAGCUUGCCGUCCCCCUCCGCCGACAAGCCCAGCCUCGCCUUACCAACGGAUUAACGACAGCAUCGAUUCUUUCCCUUUGUGUACUCUGGACCUUUACGCUAUGUCAUCAAGUCGGUGCUGUUCCCUUGGAUUGAUCUAUGUAUGUACGUCGUUAUGCGUCCAUCUAGCUCGUAGUGUUAUUUCAAACCGGAUUAGCUGGAGGGGUUGAUACUGCACAUGCAAAAACGAUUGGAAAAGCUACCUAGGGGUCUUCGGAAGAAAGGAUAAACAUGGUGAUUGUUUAUAAUUGUUUGGAGGAUAGCAUUCUUUCUGGACUGCAAUAGCUAGCGAACAUUCGGUGGGAGGAAUGGCAUUUGCGAACUUUUUGCUAGCAGUUUCUUUAGAUUCGCAUGAUAUUUUCUUAACGUAAGAAUUUCUUCGUAGGAUUAGCUUUUUCUUCAGAGAAAGGCAUUUUUCUCCUAAAACUGCCACCAUUUAUUCUUGCGUUGCAACUAAAACUGCUAAAAAGAUGCGUUCGCUUGCCAUCCUCUCCUAGAAAACCUCAUAAAAAAAUACAAUUUGUUGUACCGUUUCUUUUAUUUUACUCCCUUCGUUCCAAAAUUCUUGUUCGUAUCUAGACAAAUCUAAGACAAGAAGAUGUAUCUAAUAUCCAUAUUUAGACAAAUUUAAGACAAGAAUUUUAGAACGGAGGGAGUAUUUGUUUAUCAAUUCCUACCAUUCCAUGCAAUUUAAUCUUGGAACUAGCAGGACGAGAAACUUGAAAACCUUCUUCACGUGUUGAGGACAAGUUUAUGUUGUGUUUUGUGUGCAGGUAUCAGUGACUUUUUUUCUGCUAGAAAACUUUCGGUCUAUUCAUCUUUAAUCAUUAUAGUACAGCGAACACCUGAAAUAAUAAAAAUUCUCAUCAAGUUCCAAACAGAUUUAGAUCCUCGCCCGUUGUCUGGCUAGCGGGGCCACCGUUGCUACCUACUGUAGCAUCGUAGAGGAGGUAUCUCAUACCCCAGCUCCUAUCAAUUGGGAGGUAUCUCAUACCCCGUCUCCCGAUCUAUUUUUGCCACAAGACCCAAAAUUGUUUGGAUAGCCUUAUGAACAAACAUGAUGGCGUGUAUGUUCGUGUCCGACACAAACCCUCUAAUUCAAGGACACCUAGCAGCACCCCAAUGUCAUGAGCCCACUGCUAGACGUACAAGACAUGCGAAGGUGUAACAUCUGGAAUGGCAAAUGUGCUUGAUAUUUAUGAGGGGUCUUUCUACCAUUCAACAUGCAUAGAAAUAAUUUGGUGAGCCCAGUGCUAGACGUACAAGACAUGCGAAGGUGCAAUAUCUGAAGGUGCAACAUCUGGGGUGGCAAAUGUGCUUGAUAUUUACGAGGGAUAUUUCUACCAUUCAACAUGCAUAGAAAUAGAACCAAUGUCAAUCACAAACAAAUAAAUAUUUCUUGAAUAGUAUGUCUCCUCCAUGAAGGUCCUCCGGCGACUCCAAUAGCAUGGUCGGAUCUCCAUCCUGUUCGUCAGGCCGGGACGCCUGGAUCUCCAUCCGAGUAACGCGGUUGUUCUAUGUCCUUCAGUUACUACAACUAGUAAUGAAUUACAGAGAAUCACAAGCCGACAUGUAGGUUGUAGUACAUUAUAAUGAUAGCGCUUAGGCUCUAGCCGACUUGACAAACCCAUGACUGCAUCUCAUACAUGAGCCAUACCAUUCACCGCAAACAUGCAAAACCAAGUGACAAAUAGGUCAAAACUGAUAAAUCUCUGUGUGUGGUCCAGCCCUAGUGGGGGUGGGGGGGCUGGCAUAACGCCACCAUUAAUGUGUAAUUUUGGUCCUGGACUGGGUUGUGCCCGUUUGCCAUACUUUUGGUCCAGAAACGAAAUUUAAUGUGUAACCACCUCAAAGAAGAAAAUGAAACUAGCUUGUAAAAGAAGCACAUUAAACCUUACGAGCAAAGAGAUACUAUAUGAAAUAUCUCUAGACUUUUUACACUAAGCAUUGUAACUACCCAAACAAAUCACUCCAUCGAAGCAUAAACUCAUCAGUUCCAGCCUGCAUGGCUACAGUAAUAGCCAAGCAAUCAAUCUUUUUACAGGACUCCCUUAAGAUCAAACUCUGGCGGCGUCAUCUGCCCCUCACUUUCUAGUAAACCAUCCCCCAUCCAAUAUUCACAAAUGCAAAAUGUCUUUCAGGUCCCCAACAAGAAUUUGAAGCCUAGGCACUCUGCGUGGAGAGAGGGUUGCAAAGGGGAGUCACUUUAUGGAUUUUUCAGAGCAGCCAGCCUCUGCUCGAGCUCUUCCAAUUCCGAACUGUAAACAAGGUAACCAGUGUCAUUAACAUGGCAACUUAUAUCAGGUAUAGGUGUAGAUUCAUGGAAGCAAGGGGAGCAGUCGUAAGCCCAAUAUUGAGUGGAAAAAAGAUCAAGAGUACAUAAAUAGCUGUUGGAGAUAAGUGUGCGUCAGCAAUGGUCGAAGUAAUAAGAUCCUACACCAGAUCAUGUUUAAUUCUUUUAAAGAAAUGCAGACAAAAUAUCAUGAAUACAAAAUCAAAGUAAAUGUUCUACUUCGAAACUACUUUAUCCUUCUUUUUUAUUCGGUACACAAAAACAUACUCCCUCCGUCCCAAAAUAAGUGUCUCAACUUUGUAGUAAUUUUAGUACAAAAUUGUACUAAGGUUGAGACACUUAUUUUGAGACGAAGGGAGUGUGAUUACGACUCUAAGAGUUUACUCUUUUUAAAUAGGAUUUAUUAACUAUUCCGAUGUGUUGCAUAAGGAUAACAGUGGGGAGCUAAGGUAGUCUUGGCCCAUCGCAGUUUGAAGUUCAAAAAAUAUAUUACCUCCGUACCAAAAAGCUUGUCUUAGAUCUGUCUAGAUACGGAUGUAUCUAACGUGUCUAGAUACAUCCGUAUCUAGACAAAUCUAAGACAAGCUUUUUGGGACGGAGGGAGUAGUAACCUGGAUUCCUUAACAAGGUAUGAAGGGUCCAAGGGGGGUAUAAAAAUGAAGAAAAUAAAUGACUAAAGAUCCAGGAUCCUGCAUACCUCUCAUCAGCCUGAACCUUCUUUCCAGCAAUUCUUCCUUUGGGAGCCGAGGACAACUGCAAAACAGUGUCAGGACAAGAGAAAUUUCGAACAAGAGUUAGAAUCAUAGUAAUGAAAAAGGGGUUGCACUGGUAGCUUCAACUACCUGUGAGGCAACGUCAACACCAAUCUCGUCGAGCACCUAAAAGAGACAUUGAAAAGAAUGAAUAAUCGAAGAAACAUGCUAGGAAGAGUCUUUCAAAGAGAUGCUACCAAUUUGGAUUGAGGUUGGACACUGGAAAUAACCUGGUUAGCAAGCUCUUCAGUUUCGUCCUCAGCCUGGUCAUCGUCUAAGACAUUGUCGAUUGAGUCUGACAUCAUCUCGUUCUGCACAAAUAACAAGGAUAAUCAGUGCAUACACUUUGUCAUAAUCUAAUACACAGGAACCCAUCACAUGCUUGUGAGCUUCCCAGGAAAACAAUGUAAAAUCUUGUCAAAUUGAAAGCAAUCAUUCUAUGAAAGUAGGAUGGCCAUAAGUUGCAUACCGUCCUAUCCAUUUGUGCUGACUGCUUUUGGAAUUCUUGCAUUACUUUCAUUUGCUUGGCGGGAUCCAUUUGCUGCAGCAAAAAUAAAACAAAAUUUAUAGUAGAACAUGUGUUCCGAUUCUUACAAAAUUGUGUUCUACAUCCCAGAACAAAGACACACAGAAGUUACUACUGUAAGAUUUAAGUUCAAAGAUACUGUGUUAGUAUACACUUGGUUUUUAAAAUUUUAAACACCUGGAAUGUAUCAUGCCAAUAAGUUUGGUAGGCUAUUACCUUGUUCAUAGCUCCCAUCGCUUUACUCGCACUUUGCAUGCCAGCAGACACUGAAGUGUUGGCCUGCAUCGCCUAAGGACAGAGUACGGCAACAAAACAAGAAAAUUAACUCACCACCAUGUGUCGAAGAAAGAAAAGAAAGGAAAAUAUUCACCUGUGUGUGUGUCGCGAUGCCACGAAUCUGAGCUCGACUACCUUGUAAAGUAGAUAUUUUUUGUCUUAACCUGAUCAGUUGACGGGCCAGAAUUUUAGUUGCGGCCUGCCAAAUAGAAGGGUAUCAGGAGAACCAUACUGCAUGAUUUAGAACAAAAUUAGUGCGUCAAACCGAAAUAUAAGAAAUAAAACCUCAUUGCCAGUUUUUGCAGUCCUUUUGAUUUCAGCAACUAGUCUCUUUUCCUAAUUGGAACAAAAAACAAGGUGAAGCUGUGGUUACUGCUUAUUCAACUGGUACAAAUAAAAUAGAGAAACACAGCAAGAAAAUAUGUGUGCGUCAUAUGGAGCGUGAAAUAUGUGAAGAACUACAUGGAGCAGGCUUUAACAACUUGUCAAAUGACUGAACGUAUAAAGUCAUUCCAUUGGCAGGUAUCCUGAGCAUUUUUUUUCUCAUUAACCACAAAAGACAGGGUAUGUGAUUAAACAUACAGACCUCUUGUUGUAAUGUCCCGAUGUCCCUCUCAAUACCUACAGAUGACACAUGUCAGGAAUUAGAUCAUCUCGAAACCUGCAUAGUUGAACUAUUGGGAGAAAGCAUGGCUAACAUGGUUUUCUAUAAAAUGUCAUAGUUGACAUUAACCGAAAUUCUCAACAUGUCGUUUCUAGGACAGGAUGCAGAAUAGUAUUUCCCUCCAUGUUUCAUAAUUCAGUCAAACCUCAACUCCUCGAGUUUCAACAACUUUUUUAGCAAACAUGCAAAAGCUUGGAGCGUAUGUGUAUUAUGAUACCGUAGAAUGUAAGGAAUCACAGAUGGUAUGUCAAACCGUGCUAUACAACAGCCAAGGGCUGUGAGUACAUAAUAUUCAAUUUCAAUCAAAUUUCGAGCAUUCAAUUUACACAAAAUAACAGGGAUUGAACCUUAAAUCAGAAGAUAACCUAGAUGGAAACUACAAUUGCCUCGAACAGUUGAUCAGAAACAAUCGAAUAUAAUGAACCAGCCUUUGAUUCAACUUGCAUUAAUUAGGUUCAAACUACAGCUAGCACAUGUAACUUGGUAUACUCUGACCUAAUAACUAGCAUUUAAAAAUGGCAAUCCACUUGAGCGCCAAGUGUGCCGGAGCACAAACUACUCACCUCUUGUCGCGUUCGUCAGCUCCCGCUUGCUGUUCCUGAUCGCCUCUGCACAGCAGAAACCGCAAUCAGGGAUUCAGAGCUCAGGGCACAACGAUUGAGCUAGACACAGGCGUACGGAACCCUAGGAUCGUCCCCGAAAGCAAUCCGAUCGAUCAGAACUCGAGCUACGCAGCGCCGGCGCGCGAAGCGCAAAUUGGAAAGGAUCGCGUGAGCCGAGGCCAAAUUAGGUGAAAUUUUGAACGGUGGGGAUGGGGAGGGGUUGAGUCGUACCUCGCGGCGUUGGCUUCUUCGCGAAGGGAUUCAUCGCUUCCUCGGUGCGCUCGCCGCCGGGAGGAAUCGAGGAGGGGCGGUGGGGCGUGGGAGAAGAAGGCCGGCUACCGCGUACGUGAGGGGAUGGAUUCUUUGUUUGGGUUCUUCCUGGUAGUUGCGCGGAAGGGCUACCACGACUGACCGACUGGUACUUUUUUUUUUCGAAUCAACUACUCCCCCGUUAGUUAUUUCACACAACUCAAAAUGAACUGUUUUGUACAAAUACCCGUGCGUUGCAACGGACGAUUAAAUUAAUAGAACAUGGGCCUUGUCAUUCCACAACACUUAUUACCUUUAAUUUUGACGAGCAUCAGUACAUAGGCAUUCUUGAGUAUCACUUUUCAGCAAAAGCCUCUCUAACAUUGUUUGUCAUGAUGUAUUUCAGCUCCGCACUUUCAUCCGAUGAAAGAGUGGUGGUGCACGCACACUCUUAGAAAAAGAUGUGAAUAUUUCUCAAAAAAAGGAUGAGAAUAAUAAGAUUUAAUAACGACUAAAGAUGAUGAUAAUAUUAAUAUGUAAUAGUUCCAACUAAGUUUUCAUGAAAGUUUAUAAAAACUUAAAAAUAUUUGAACCUCUGUUAAAUCCCGGCCAAGAAGUCUCUAUUUACUGAAAAUAAAAUUGUUUCAGUUUGAGUAACCACAAAGUAGGGAAAAACGAUUAAAAGUAGGAUAUCACUCAAGAGCCAGCCCCGACCCAUCUUUCUUUAAGCCCACUAAGGUAGCCGGCACAGCCCCAAUGCCAGCCUCUUCUCGCAAAAAAUAAAUAAAGAAUGCCAGCUCUUCCAUUGCUCUCUCCUCCUCCUCGAUGGUGAACAGCGGGGGCACGCUUCUGCUCACUUUCUCCUCGCACCGUCUCCCCGAUCCGCCUGGGAGCCACCUGCACACAGCCGACUCGCUCUCCUUUGCCUCAGCUCGCCGUCCUCCUGCCGUCGCUCAGUGGCGAGACCACCACGACGCCGCUCGCUCUCCUCCCGUCGACCUCCUCCUCUCCUAGAUCUCUGCAGAGUGCCUCCUCCUGGACGACCUCGCGUGUGCGGUGCCCGCCGCUUCACAUAUCAGCGCAGCCACCUUGCUGCCGUCCGGGAGAGCCUCCCGACAGCAGUCGCUGGCCUCCCCAUUCUCCCCCGCGCCUGGCUUCCCUCCGCCUCGCCCUGCUUCCGUCACGCCGCCUCCGCGCCAGCAAGUCCCGACACCGGCGAGCCACUGCCCUUUGGGUGAAGCGGUGCUCCCGCGUAUGCACCUGUGGCGGGCCGGCUGGUUGAUUAGGCGCGCACUGCGGCCUCGGCUUCAAUUUUUGACUGGUUAGUCCUCCUUUCCGCUCAGCCCUCUUGUGGCAUACGAGUAGAAUUCACUUUGAUUAAUUAAUUACAUAUUAGAUCUGGUUUAGCGUUUUAGAACCGCUUUGGUCGCAAUUGGUAGAUUUAGUGGUAACCUCGCCUCACUCGAUGAUGGUUCAAUUGUCUCUGCUCCAAAUCUGCAGACUCUCUGCUCCAAAUGUGUGCCGAGCAUCUUCUUCAAUGACAUGUAAGUAACUGUCAGAAAGUAAUCCAAUUCAAGAAAGCAAGCUUGCACAAUGCAAUUUGCUGCUUGUUCAUAGAACCAUAAUUCCAAUCAUAAGUUCAACAAAGUUUUAGUAAGCAAAUCAGCUCACCGUCACAGCCACCAAUGUGUUCCCCAUUAAUGAAGACAUUGAGAACAGUCCUCUGCCCAGUCCAUUCAGCAAGAGCUAACUGAAUCUCAGGUCCAUCGCCUUGAUAAAAGAUAACAUGGGUUAGUUCAAUAAGAGUUUCUCCCAAGACCUGUGCCGAUCAUCCCAAUGCAGAGCCAAUACAUGAUGCAAUUAGAAGUUAGAACAUGCUUGACGUUUAUCAUGAGCAUCCAGUAAUCACUUAGCUACAAGCUGCAGAUGAGUAGUAGAGUAGUACGACCAGGAGCAGAGUGUAAAAAAACAUGUAUUGCUCAGAGCAUGUAAACACUAAAAAGAAGAGUAACUAAUCUGAGGUUUGGAUGAUAGCACUUAGAUUACAUAGUGCGUCAUAGUUGGGUGCGUGCGACCUCAAUUGCUUCUUCUUUGUUGCCAGAAAACUCAAUUGCUUCUUUAUUGUCUAACCAAUCAUCAAAGCUCCCAAGAGAUUUGAGAUCACACUCACAUCAUUACUUAGUGAGCUUACUGAUUACUUACAAAAUCAUUGUUCCAUAAAUGGUGUUGUCAUAAAUUCUUUUCCAGGCCACAGUAGUAUGAAGCUCUUAAACUGAAUAUGUAUAGUAUUCCAACAAAACAGUACACAGGGAAAUCCAAAUGCAGGAAAAUAACUUGCAUUAAGCUCUUAUAAACCCAGCAAGUACACCAUUUCAACGGAACAGUACACAGUAACAUCCGGAUGCAGGAAACUUAAGGUUAUUAUUCAUCUAAAUUAUUGGGAGCUCGAUACCAGCAAGCUGAGUCUGAUCAAACUAUCUACAUCACUGUUAGAUAUUGCAUAUUUUGUCUACCACUGUACAAUAUACAUGCAUCUGUGCUUGCGGCGGAGGCGAAGACGAGCCAUAGAGUUGUAGGAGCGAGCAGCAGAGCGAAGGGAGGCUCAGAAGAACAACUCUAGCAGGCGGCGCGGUGGAGCAGUAACGGCUACGCUCACCGAUGGUGGCGAGGCGUGGAAAACAAAGACCAUGAUUUCAACUCUUUGUGGACAUACCUCAAGCGUAGGAUCGGCCGACAAAUUUCCGGUGAACUGUGGAGCACUGUUGGAAGCCAGUAUGUUUUCUGUCGAAGUCUAACGAGGCAACAUUGGACGGUUUUCCGGCGAAGUAGGCGGAGACAACAUUGGACAUAUUUUGUCGGACGUCGUCUUGUUUUCUGGCGAAGUCUGCGAAGGCGAUAGUGGGCGGACUACCGGCGAAGGUGGACAGAAUUUGUCGGAUGACGUCUUGCUUUCCGGCGAAGUCGGCGGAGGAGACAUUGGGUGGACUUGAGGAGAAUUUGCAAUGCAAUUUAUGUGGAGUGUCGAAAUGUCUUGUAACCGGGAUUUCGAGACUGAUCGGGUCUUCCCGGGAGAAGGAAUAUCCUUCGUUGACCGUGAGAGCUUAUAAUGGGCUAAGUUGGGACACCCCUGCAGGGUGUUAUCUUUCGAAAGCCGUGCCCGCGGUUAUGUGGCAGAUGAGAAUUUGUUAAUAUCCGGUGGUAGAGAACUUGACACUUGACCUUAAUUAAAAUACAUCAACCGCGUGUGUAGCUGUGAUGGUCUCUUUUCGGCGGAGUCCGGGAAGUGAACACGGCUUUUGGGUUAUGUUUGACGUAAGUAGGAGUUCAGGAUCACUUCUUGAUCAUUGCUAGUUCACGACCGUUCCGUUGCUUCUCUUCUCGCUCUCAUUUGCGUAUGUUAGCCACCAUAUAAGCUUAGUGCUUGCUGUAGCUCCACCUCAUUACCCCAUCCAUUCCUUUAAGUUUAAAUAGUCUUGAUCUCGCGGGUGUGAGAUUGCUGAGUCCUCGUGACUCACAGAUACUUCCAAAAUAGUUGCAGGUGCCGAUGAUACCAGUGCAGGUGACGCAGCUGAGCUCAAGUGGGAGCUCGAUGAAGAUCUUGCUCUUUGUGUUGUUUCUUUUCAUGUUGUUCAGUAGUGGUGCCCAGUUGGGACGAUCGGGGAUCUAGCAGUUGGGUUGUCUUCUUUUCUUUUGGUUCUGUAGUCGGACCUAUGUGUGUACUCUGAUUGAUGUAUGAUUUAUUUAUGUAUUGUGUGAAGUGGCGAUUGUAAGCCAACUCUUUAUCCCAUUCUUGUUCAUUACAUGAGAUUGUGUGAAGAUGACCCUUCUUGCGACAAAACCAUAAUGCGGUUAUGCCUCUAAGUCGUGCCUCGACACGUGGGAGAUAUAGCCGUAUCGUGGGCGUUACAAGUUGGUAAUCAGAGCCAUCCCUGACUUAGGAGCCCCCCUGCUUGAUCGAAUCGCUGGCGUUGUUGAGUCUAGAACAAAAAUAUUUUGAGUCUUAGGAUUAUAUAUAUCAGAGAGUAGGAUUCUUUUUACUCCUCAGUCCCUUCGUCGCUCUGGUGAGGCCUCCUGACGUAGAAAUUUUGACUUUUCUCUCCUCAAAUUUCACUAAAAAAAAUUUAGGAUCACGCGGGCAUCUUGGAAUCGCUUCGAUGGUUUUGUGACGAGAACAUUGUUCUUGGUGCCUCCUGACAUUUAGGGGUUGUGGCAGUGUCCCGGGGAGUUGAGCUCCGAGGUGUUGUCGUCACAAUUUUAUCGUUGCAGUUCUGGAAUACCUGAGUUUCGCCGACAUCGAAAUCUCUUUUAUGCAGUUGUUGGUGAGAUCACCUCGACGCCAUCCAGUACUGGGGCGGGAGUUCGGGAGUAUUGCCAUAACUCGUAUAACGGAUGCUUUUCGAAGGUUGAGGUAAAUGAUUUUCGAAGGUUUCUUGGUUAUGUGUUGAAGGAUGGAUACAGCUGGAUCUAGGUAUUGUUAGUUUGGGUGAUAUAUUUUGUGUCCCCUGUAUCCCCAACAUCUGAUUGCAUAACCAGAAAGUUUCGGGAGUUUAUAAGUGGGAAUUCAAGUAGCUCCUAGGAUAUCUUUCCGACAGAUGCAUGAUAUGAGAUUGGGGUUCGACGUCUAGUGAUCCGCCUUUCCACGGUUGGUUUUACAGUGGUCUCGUAGUGUCUUAAAGAGUCCUUGGCUAUGCCGACUCGGGGACGCUUCGUAUGUCAUGUGCACUGCCUUGUACAUGAUGGUGCUGUACGAUCGAGCCCGUGUGGGCCCCACCACGAAAACUUCGGACGAGAUCUCUAUCAUAUGUUUGUUCCGGCUUAUUCUGCAAGCCAAAUCCUUUGUUUUUUGUUUUGUUUUGUUUUGUGGUUUUCGAGUUGCUUCAAUGACAAGUGUUGAUUCCAUACCUUAUCCUAAGUGGUGUUCUCAUAUUUAUAUGUGGAUGCUAAUCCUUCUUCAUCUUCAAGGUUGUCUUUUCAAUUCUUUUCAACCGGUGUGCUUCUCUUCAAGCGGAUCCGAUCGUUUCAACAUUCGCGAGAUCAAUUCUAAGUUUUCUCAACGGUAUCCAUUCCAUCUGCCCCAAGUUGCCUUUGUUUUUCCGCCCUCCCAUCCUCUUUCUUCAAGGACUCAGAUUUCUUAAUCAAGUAUCAUUUUUAUUGAUACGAAGUCUCUUUAUUCUUUUCUUUCAAUGUUCUUAUCCGGUGAUUUUCUCAUGAAGAUACUAACGGAGCUUCAAGUUUAUUAUUCUUCGUUCUUUUUCUUCUCCGGUGGACUCAAGUCAAGCUUUCAGUGUUGAUCGUAUUCUUUUCCUCGUUUCAAAUGUUUUUCUCAUGCCGGUGUAUCUCUUAAUCAUUCACCUCUCGCAUUGCCAUUCCCAAUCCGUUCAAGCUUUCUCGAGGUUGUUAUCUCUUUCAAGCCAUUUAAUUCAACCGGCUUAAUCUCUCUUUUAAAUUGUUCAACGGUGUUUCUCUUGAGUGGGCCCUAACCCACAGGUAUUUUCCCAGAAUCUUACCUGACUCUUCUAAUCUUUCUGGAGUCAUUCUCAAAUUCAUUGCAAAGUGACGUAAGAAUGAAUUAUCAUCAGUCAAAUGUCUUUCUCCAAGAUCUUUCAAAUUCUUUUCAUUGUUGGUUCAAUCUUUCUAAUUGUCAUUCCGGAGUGCCUCAAUAAUUCAUGGUGGUGUUUCUCAUCAUCAUUCUCAACAUUUGAAGACCGAAGAACAAUUUCUCCUAAAUCUUGGUCCGUUCUCUUGAAGAUUCAUAGUUCUAGCUUAUGCCAUCCUCUCAUAAUUGUUUUCGAUUGUGAGAAUUCUUUUCUUACCCAUCCGAAGCAUUUCAGAGUUGUUUUCAUUUCUUGAUCAUCCAAAGGCCAUCAUUUCAGAAAGAAUUAUUCAUUCAAGCUUUCAGCUCUCGUUCUCCAAAUCAUACCGGUGCAUCACUCAAAUAUCCUCUAAUCAGUUCAUGAUCGCUUCGUUCUCGUGUAUCUAAAUUCUGUCAAGUAUCUUCAUUCAUUUUCUAAUUCUUUCUGUUGAAUUGUGCCUUUGCUACUUUCAUUUUCAAUUCUCGCGGUGGUUCGUUCAAGAUUUCUCUUCCCUCGUUAUCAUAUCAAUUCAUUCGUUGUUUCCAAAUCCUACCGGUGGUUCGAUGAAGACCUUCCUAAGUUGAGCAAUAUCCCUCUUUAAUCCUUUCGACGAGAAUAAGUAGUAUGACAAAUCCAUUGCUUGCCAUCAAUUAAUUGGUGAAGGACGAGCAUAAUGUAAUUCUUAUUUUUGUUUCAUCGAGUAAAUUCAACUCCUUAUUCCGGAGGUUCAUCAAAAUUCUUGAUUUCAUUUGUUCAUUUUUCUUUCCGGAGUUCCAAGUUUUUCUCGGUUAUAUCAUAUCAAAGCUUCAUCUAAAUCAUUGCAAGGCUUCACCUUGUGUUGUCAACUUCUCUUUCUUUCUAUCAUCCUUUUGUAUACCGGAGUUCUUCAUGGAGGCUCUACAUGGUGCUUCGUCAAGGAUUCCUUUCAUUCUUCAAUUGUUCUUCAAGAUUUCUCUCGGAGUCAAGAUCCGUCAAGCUAUACUCUAAAAUAAACAUGGUGCUUAACACAUGUCUCUCUUGAGGAGUUCAAGCAUUCUUCAUCUCGCAUUCCAAAGUGCAAUUCUUUCUACCUUAUCGUUUGAGAUGGUGCUAUGUCAUUCUGGAUAAUUUCCCUUCGGGUUCAUGAUUCACAAAGUUUUCAAGAGUGACAUAUCUAAAUCCAUCAUUUUGUCUUCGUUCAAGAGGUCUUUUCAACCAAUCAAUCUUUUUGUUGGAGUUGUAUUGGGUUAUAUUUCACCUAUAGCCUCCCCUAAGGAAUGUAGCUAUUUGUGGUGUUUAUCAAUGAUCCAAAUUUUCUCCUAUCCUCUUGGUGAAGAAGUUUUCAUCUCCUUGUUGAUCCCAAUUCAAUCAAUCAUUGUUUCCGUUAGUGGCAGUUUGUCACCUCAUAAUGUUGAGAUGUUUCCAUAAGCCCACUACAAGCUUUUUCUUUUCGCUGUUGGUUUCCAACAACUCCGUUCAAUCCUACUUCGUAAGGAUGCUCUUUAAAAUUCAUUUAUGGUAGGAGAUGUUGGUUUCACUCUUCGUUCUAUUCACUCCAACUAUCUAACUAUCAUGCAUUGUUUCCGGAGGCUUUGUGAUGUUGCUCUCUUCGACCAAUCAUCUUGUUUUGUCAAGAUCAUGUGUACUUUUCCUUUCUUAUCCGUUUAGCCGGAGCGUCGUGUUUUCAUUCGAGUUCUCUCAUCUUAUCAAGUUUUGUCUCCUUUUCAACCGGAGUGCUGUCUGAAAUCUUUCCUACCCCUUGUGACAUUCUUUCAUUAGUUCCGGAGGAAAUGUGUUGUUAAUUUCAUCGAGUAUCCUCUCAUCUUGUCAAGAUCAUGUUCAAUUCCUUCCAUUUACAGUCGGAGUGCUGUCCAAAUUAUAUCAUUCUUAUUCCUUCUUUAUCUUGUUUUAACUGGAGUGUUGUGUAUAUCAUUCCUCUUCUAACCGGAGUCUCAUCCAAGUGCUUUCAUUUUGCCAAGUUCAUAUUCUAUGCUUUCCAUUUUCCAACCGGAGUGUUGUCGUAAUGGAUCCUUAUCGUUCCUUGUACAUCUCUUUUCAACCGGAGUGCUUGCAUGUACUUCUUGUCCAUUGUAACCCGUAAUGUUCCUUGUUCCUUUUUUCUAACGGUUUGUUUUCAACUUUGUUCAUCUUCGUUGUUUUCUCUCUUUUAAUUCGUUCAACGGUUCGUGGUUUCACUCGUUUGUCAAAGAAGCAACUCAGUUUACCUCUCCUCUUCCUUUUCUGCUUCUCUCCGGUGCCAUCCUAGAUCUCGGGACGAGAUCCUUUUGUAGUGGUGGAGUGUUGUAACGCCCCAAGACCGACGCUUCAGAAGACUUCCAUAUUUUUCGUGAUCACCGUGUGUUUCUUUUGGUGCUUGCUCUUUUAUUUUUGCAUUGCAUCAUGUCAUCAUGCCAUCAUGUCAUUUAAUUUUUAAAAAACUCAACUAAGUAAAUUGCAUGGAUCUUCGAUCCAUUUAAAUCGAGGGAAAUGCACAUGGUGAUUUCUCUUUAUAACAUAUAUCCUCCCAAUAUUGUUAGGGAGCUAUAUUAAAAUAUUCCACUAAUUGGAGUUCACCAUAACACACUUGCAAAUAUCCCAAUGCCUUUGUUAUCUUAAUUCUUGGUCUCCAACCUUGCCAUUUAUUCUUUCAUCAUAUUCCGGAGCUCCACCAAAAAUCCGAACAUUUUUGGACCUUACCAACCCUCACUUCCUAUUCAAAUCAUUUGAAUUUAAAUCAAAUGAGUUUGAAUUUAAAUCUUUCAAUCAUGGCCUUUUCUAUUUUCUCGAAACAAGCACAUUGUUGUGAGUCUGGAAAAAUUAUCCGCGUGUCCAACUUCUUCCCCAACACCUCCUUUCUUCUUCUUUUCUUCUUUGUUAUUUUCUGUUUUAGAAAAUAAGAGAGUAGGGUGAAAGAGAGAACCAGGCCGACCCAUCCCCACAGGCCCAGGCGUUGGCCUCCAACAGCCCAGUCAUCCCCAUCUUAACCCUAGCCUCCUCCCGAUCCCCUCGCUCUCUCCCUCAAUGCCCCAUCCAGCGCCGCCAGGAGCCCCGAUCCCCAUCUCCCUCCGCUCGAUCUCCUCCUCACCCUCUCUAUCUCCUAGCGCGCGCCCCCUUCGCCUGCCUGCUCCCUCUUGCUUCUUCGACCUCGCCUCGCCCCGCGACCCCGCCGCCGCUCCGGCCGGCGAGCCCAUGCUCCGGCGCCGCCGUCCUCGUGCUGCAACGCUGCCGGCAAGCCCUGCCUCUGCCUCCUCCUUCCCCGCGCGUGAGAUGCUCUCCUCCGCCAGCCACCUCCCGCUCACCUCCUUCUUCUCUUCCUCGCGCGCCCGCGACCAUGGCUGCCUUGUCAUCAAGCUCGCCUUCGUCUCCCUGGUGGCCGACUGCGUCGACCUCCUCUGCAAGGACAAGCCACUGCUGCUGCCACCACCACCACCUUGCUCCGUCGCUCGCCUCCCCCACGACCUCGCGUCGCCCCGCUGCCCGAGCCGUCCUCUCCGCCUUCCUCCUGCGCGGCACACACAUGCCCCGCGCCUCACCUCCAUGGCCUUCUGCCCGAGCCACCACGACCACGUGCGCCUCCUUCAUGGUUGCUGUGCUGUCGGUUUUUCAUGCCUCGUCCUGCUGCUGUGGGUGCCUCGCGAGCCGCCGAUGUCCUCGCGAGCUGCUCUGUCCGAUAGGGCUCCCUUCCAAGACGAGCUGGCUGCCCCGUUGGCCCUGCUGCCUUUGUCGUGGCCAAGUCAAGCCAGACGCCCGGAGUACAUCUUUGGUUGCACACCAAGUCGGCCAUGCCUUGCUGCCUCCUGUACACUGUUGGUCAACAGUUGAUGCACGCCAAGUACUUUGACUACAGCCGAUGCCCCGAGGACACAGAGUAUGACUACACACGGCGAUGCGUCAAGUUCCACUACCGUCGACCCCAUGGACCGCCAAGUUCUUCUACCAAUGACUCGAUCGUCUUCAAACGUGUACAACUAACGUCGCCAGCCCGCGAGUGCCACUACUUCCCACGACGACCCAUGAACAACUACUUACACUUCGAACCCGUCCGCCCCGAGACGUACGCUUCAAAGGUAUAAUGACGAGACGACCGCCCGUGUACGAAUGCAUGUUGUCUGAGAUGAACCGUAUGUUUGCACCGUGCCCGUUUGCUUCAUGCACGUUCCUCCUCGGUUGCCAUGCCGUCGACCUGUGGGAACCCGGUAACCGGGAUCACCCCACCAUCUUUUGCAUGUUCCGCACAUCCGCACACUUGCUCUUUUGCACCGGUAUCUCCGUGAGCUAUCAGAACCGAUAUGUUGCCGUGGCAUCAUUUUCGGAUUCGUUGCCGUGGCACCCUUUUCCUUCCGCCACGGUGACAAAUGCCUCGUAUCAUGCUCAUGUCAACAUUUUCAUAAAAAAAUUGCUUAAAACUUGCAUUGUCAUCCGCAUCAUGAUAACAACAUUCAAAUGUUUAAAAUUGUUGUUUGCUUUAAAUUGCUAAUUGACAUGAGGAUUUUUCGGAAUUAUUGUUUGUUGUUCCGGCCUCAUUUAAAUUGUCUAGAUAGUUAGUUUACUUAUGCUUCACCUCUUGCCAUGAUAAUCAACAUUUAAUAUUGUUGGGUACAUAAACGGGAGGGAACCAAAUAAUUAAAUAUGGUGUUUCGUCAAUAUGCAACUCGUUGCAUAUUGAGCUCCAUUUAAUUUGUAGUGUUGUUUGUUGCACUUUGCCAUGCCAUGCUCAUUAAAUCGGACAUGCAUCAUACUUGACUGUGCAUCAUGCCAUGUGUAUGUGGUGGUUGUUUACUAUGUUGUUUGUUUCUUUCCGGGUUGCUUCUCUCGUUAGCUUCGGUUUCUUUCCGGAGUUGGGAGGAUUCGUUCGACUCCGUCUGUUUGUCUUCUUCAUGGACUCGUUCUUCUUCCUAGCGGGAUUUCAGGCAAGAUGGCCAUACCCUCGAAAUCACUUCUAUCUUUGCUUGCUAGUUGUUCGCUCUAUUGCUAUGCCGCGUUACCUACCACUUGCUAUAUCUUGCCUCCCAAAUUGCCAUGAAACCACCUCUAACCUUUGUCACCCUUCCUAGCAAACCGUUGUUUGGCUAUGUUACCGCUUUUGCUUAACCCCUCUUAUAGCGUUGCUAGUUGCAGGUGAAGAUGAAGAUUGCUCCAUGUUGGAUUAUGUUUAUGUUGGGAUAUCACAAUAUCUCUUAUUUAAUUAAUGCAUCUAUAUACUUGGUAAAGGGUGGAAGGCUCGGCCUUAUGCCUGGUGUUUUGUUUCACUCUUACCGCCCUAGUUUCCGUCAUACCGGUUUUAUGUUCCUUGAUUUUGCGUCCCUUACGCGGUUGGGUGAUUUAUGGGACCCCCUUGACAGUUCGCUUUGAAUAAAACUCUUCCAGCAAGGCCCAACCUUGGUUUUACAUUUGCCUCACCUAGCCUUUUUCCCUUGGGAGUUGCGCAUCCCGAGGGUCAUCUUUAUUUUAACCCCCCGGGCCAGUGCUUCUCCAAGUGCUGGUCCAAACCGAGCGAUGUCCGGCGCCCCCUGGGCAAUCAGGGUCUAUGCCAACCCGACGUCUGUCUCAUCCGGUGUGCCCUGAGAACGAGAUAUGUGCAGCUCCUAUCGGGAUUUGUCGGCACAUCCGGGCGGCUUUGCUGGUUUUGUUUUACCAUUGUCGAAAUGUCUUGUAACCGGGAUUCCGAGACUGAUCGGGUCUUCCCGGGAGAAGGAAUAUCCUUCGUUGACCGUGAGAGCUUAUAAUGGGCUAAGUUGGGACACCCCUGCAGGGUAUUAUCUUUCGAAAGCCGUGCCCGCGGUUAUGUGGCAGAUGGGAAUUUAUUAAUAUCCGGUGGUAGAGAACUUGACACUUGACCUUAAUUAAAAUAUAUCAACCGCGUGUGUAGCCGUGAUGGUCUCUUUUCGGCGGAGUCCGGGAAGUGAACACGGCUUUUGGGUUAUGUUUGACGUAAGUAGGAGUUCAGGAUCACUUCUUGAUCAUUGCUAGUUCACGACCGUUCCGUUGCUUCUCUUCUCGCUCUCAUUUGUGUAUGUUAGCCACCAUAUAAGCUUAGUGCUUGCUGCAGCUCCACCUCAUUACCCCAUCCUUUCCUUUAAGCUUAAAUAGUCUUGAUCUCGCGGGUGUGAGAUUGCUGAGUCCUCAUGACUCACAGAUACUUCCAAAACAGUUGCAGGUGCCGAUGAUACCAGUGCAGGUGACGCAGUUGAGCUCAAGUGGGAGCUCGAUGAAGAUCUUGCUCGUUGUGUUGUUUCUUUUCAUGUUGUUCAGUAGUGGUGCCCAGUUGGGACGAUCGGGGAUCUAGCAGUUGGGUUGUCUUCUUUUCUUUUGGUUCCGUAGUCGGACCUAUGUGUGUACUCUGAUUGAUGUAUGAUUUAUUUAUGUAUUGUGUGAAGUGGCGAUUGUAAGCCAACUCCUUAUCCCAUUCUUGUUCAUUACAUGGGAUUGUGUGAAGAUGACCCUUCUUGCGACAAACCACAAUGCGAUUAUGCCUCUAAGUCGUGCCUCAACACGUGGGAGAUAUAGCCGCAUCGUGGGCGUUACAAGUCUACUUGCGAAAUCCUGUCCGUAUUGGAGUUGGACAGGAGUAAAAAAAAAUAUGGCUGAUUGGCUGGAGACAUACGUGUGAACGGACGAGCAAGGUCCUAAGCUCGAUCCCACCUUAGGCCAUUUUUUUAAUGUAAUAUAGGAAGCACAUUAAAGGCCCACAUUAAUACUUUUGGCCCAGGUCUGUAUAUGUACCAAGCAGGCUGAGGCCCAGGCGCCGGACGCAAAUUUAGAUCGAUCAGCGUUUAAUAGUACCACCUCGUACGUGAUGGUCGGACCACGAGUACGUGACCGAAACUAACGGAAAAAAACUAAUCACGAGACGAAACCAAAAAUAUCACCUCCCUUUAAUAGUAGGUAAUAAUAGAUAAUAGAUAAUAGAUAUAGGUAGGUACCGAACGCACCGUAUUCUGGCGUUUUGGCCCGAACGCCUCCUGAGCCGUUUGAUUUCUAGCACAAAUCUUAUAGCGUGGAUAUUAGCCACGUCACAUUCUUUUUCGUUCGGUAGAACAACGACUUGUCCCGAACGCCUGUCGCUAUCUUAUCCUCUCCCAGUCCCUUCUCCACCGCUCACUCGCAUCCCACACACUCGCCUUGCGGAGAACUGUCUUGCGCCGGUGACGAGGCAUGCGACGUCGGAAAGGAGCCAGGGGGCGACGGAGGCGAGGAGGUGGAAGAACGCCAUCUAGCAGCUCCACCGGACCCAACAUCGGGGGUGUCCCGCGGCGGAGACGAGGCAGGCUGCGCUGUCCUCGAGGUGUUGCGGCUUGCGGCCACGGGGGAGGAGGCUGAGGAGGCCCCCUAGUUGUGCUCCGACGGAUCCCAGAUGGAGAGCCCGAGCGCUAGCAUGGGGAGGAACCACCGGUUGCAGCGGUGGCGACGGAGAGGAGGCGCGGACGAAGGAGCUGUGAUGGAGGUGGUCGGGCUUAGGUGUGGCGGGGGCAGGCGGAGAGGAGGCCCGGCGAAGGAUCUGUGAUGGAGAUGGCCGCGCUUAGGUGCGGCGGGGGCGACGGAAAGGAGGCGCGGCGAAGGAGCUGCGCUGGCGAUUGCCGCAUUUAGGUGCGGCGGGUGUCGAGAUGCAGCCGGAGAUCUAUGCUGCGUGGUGGCACUGCUUCCGUCGGCACUGGCCGCGCACUUCCUGGUGGUCACCACGGAGCUCCACCUUGGCGUUCACGAGUUUGAACUACGCAAGGACGGGGCGGCUCGCUGGACUAGCCAUGCCAUGUCUACUACCAAUGGUGCCCGAGCCGGCUGUCAACGAAGAGAUGGUGUCCUGAGGUAUGCCAUGUUUCUCGGUUGUUUUCAUACGAAUUGUGCAUAACUCUUGACCAUGGAGAUUACAAGUUCGCGCAUCUACCGAGCGUGUGAGAAGCUCAUCUGGUUCUGGUAGAGUGUGGAGUUAGGGCUUUCGAUCAAUUUCAUGUCAAAAUGUUGGCAACACGUUCUAUAUUUCAAUGGCAAAUAUCAGAUGGCAAGAUUUAGAAAUUGUUUGCCUUGCAUUUUUGAAAUAUAACCAAUUUGAAUCAAAAUCCAUGGCAAAUUUGCAUAGUUGGGCAGUGAAAUGUAAUGUUAACAAUUCUGGGAUUUUGUACAUUAUGCUAUAUUACAACAAAUAAAAGAACAAAAAAUGUGCCACCACUUCAGAUUUGUUUUGUAUGUAUAGGUGGGGAGGAAAACAUCCCAUAGCUGAUGUAUCGUUCAUUGACAAAAAUGAUAGUAAAAUGGUUUAUAGUCGUGGCAAUUGCUAUAGAUUAUUUAGUAUUGGUAUGAUGGCAAGUUAAAAAUUUGUUCUUAUAACAUUUUUUCAAGUUUUGCCACUCUACUGACUGAAAAUCAUUUGUUUUGUGUGAUCUGAACAAAACAGAGAUACAUACUAGUCUUCCAGGACAUAAUGGUAUUUUUUGUGUCCCUAGAUUUUGUUGUAGUGGUGAUAGGCUAUGAGUUUUGAGAAGAAAAUAAAUGAUUUGUGGCUGGAUUGAUCAGGCUAUGUGCGCUGAAUCUGUAGUGAGGAAAGGGAUUUUUAGAGUUUGUGGUCAUCUUGUUGAACAACAUCAGCGAUAAUUAAACUGAAAAGGGAUAUGGAGUAACCAAAGCUUGCUUUUCAUUUAGAGAGAAUGAUUCAGGACUAAACAUGUACUGUACGAUAUAUUUGUUCUUAAAUUUGCCGUCUCACUGUAGAUUUUUUUUUAAUUUUUCCUGAAAGAUGGGAAAUAUAGUUAUCAAAUGAUGGUAAAUUCAGUUCUCGGAUCAUGGAAAAAUCAUUGCUUUCUUGCCAUGGCAACUUUCGAUUUUGGAUCAUGGCGCAAAUUUACUGUUUUCUACCAUGGCAACUAAUCUUAUACUUUUUGCCAUGUAAACAUCAAAAAAUUAGUUGAUUGAUCCUGACAAAAUUUAGUUUACGCAUCAUAGCAAACUUGCUUCCUGUAAGAUGGCAAACAUAGUUAUCGAAUCAUGGCAAAUUUAGUUCUCGAAUCAUGGCGAAUUCAUUGCUUCCUUGCCAUGGCAACUUUUGAUUUUUUAAAUUUUCGCGGCAAUUCUUUAAAUUGUCGAAAACAACACAAAAUGGCGAAUAUUGCCAUGGCAAGUUUUACUAAUUAUUUCACCUUCAUUAACAUGGCAAAAUUACCUACAUCCUCAUGGCAAUUUUAACACUUUAUUGCCAUGGCAAGUUUUACUAUUUAUUUUCCAUGGCAAAUUUACCUUUAUUAACAUGGCAAAUUCACCUAAGUCCCCAUGGCAAUAUUUAACUUUUAUUGCCAUGGCAAGUUUUACCUAAAUCGCCAUGGAAAUAUUGAACUUUUAUUGCCAUGGCAAGUUUCACUAUUUAUUUGCCAUGGAUAAUAUACCUUGGUUCAGGAUGUUGUGUAGUUGAUAUUUGCAAAGUUCAUGGCAAUUUUAUCUCUGUCCUUGUUCAUAAACAAUAGCAAAUGUAUACUGUAUAAGGCUCUAUAUGACAAAAUUCAUGUGAUUUGCGGUGGCACCUUUUUAUUUGAAAAUAUGGUAAAUUUACCAUGGCAAGAUAUGAUUUUCAGAAACAUGGCAAAGUUUAUAGAUAUUCAAAAACAUGGCAAACUUGCCAUGUCAACUUAAUAUGCUCAAAAACAUGGCAAACUUGCCAUGGCAAAUUAAGAUGUUCAAAAAACAAGGCAAAUUAAUAUGUACAAAAACAUGGCAGUUUUUAGGCCUACAAAUAUUGUAAUUUGUUUAAAAUUCUUGAAGGCAAUUGUGUUUUUGGGCUGGGCUGGUUCGCUGGAGGGGAGGGAGGGAGGUCAUUCGGGAAGGAGAGCUCUUUCGAUCAAACAAACACGUUUGUCGCGAGGGAGCUGAUUUACCGAACAAAAGGUUCGGUUUGGGAUGCCCCUAGACCGAAUGGUCGGUGGUUCUCGCGGUCCAAUUUUUUCUAUACAUGCACAAUGGCAAUUUUUAUACAAAUCUUUUUUGUUCUAUCUUAUAUGGCCAUUUUUUCUUUCUUUUUUUGUGUUUUUCAUAAUAUCAUGGCAAAUUUUUCACACUCAUUUGCCAUGAAGGGUGCAUGAACAUCAUCGCAAAUCAUUUCUGUAAUAUACUUUUUUUUCAUGAUCAUAUGGUAGUUUUGUUCAUUAAAGGAUGGCAACUUUUUGUUUCUGGAUUUUUUUCAGGCAGUAUUUUUCUUCAUCAAGUGCAUUUUUAGGCCUUUUCGUGUGUUCUCUUUUUUUUGGGACAAAAGCAGUUUUGGGCCUUCAAUAUUGUAAUUCUUUGUUUUUUUAAUUCUUGAAGGCAAUGAUGUUUCUGGGCUUGUCCCAUUUUGGGCUGGUUCGCUGGAGGGGAGGAGCUAGAUCGCUAGCGACAAGUUUGUGCGAUGCGGGAUCGUUCGGGCUGGAGGGGUACUUCUACCGAACGAGUUUGUUCGUUCCAGCACCCUUCCAGUACGAACGAUUUGUUCGGGAUGGGGUGCCUCCAGGCCGAACGUACGCGCGUUAUCGGCGUCCUUUUUUCUUCUUUCUCUUUUUUAUUUAAAGAAAAGGCAAGCAGUUUCUGCCCUAUGCAUUUCAAAACGAGGUAAUAUCAUCCGGAGUCACACAAUUUGCAUCGCAUGUUAGUUUGGUGCUAGAACUUUCAAAAAUAUGUUUUUAUGGUCACCUAACUUGACUCAAGCGUGCAAAUACGGUCACAGUAUGCAUAUGCAGUCGUAUCCAUGUAUAUGACCCCACCUAUCAGUGAGUGAUAGCACUAGGCGCGACAUAGCUUUACAAAAAAAACACCCUCAUAUUUUUUUAGUUGAACAAAAAGUCAACCACCGGGACACAUAUUUGCACAAAAUAUUCACAUUUUUUAUUUACAGAAAAACCCUGACCACAGUGCUGCCGGAAAAUUGACAACAAAAACAGGGUCGGUGCCUCGGUGGGACUCGAACCAACAACCAAGACUUCUAAUACGGGACGAUCUAGCAUUUUUCUUUGAGAAUCGGACGAUCUAGCUACUACAAGAGCCAGGCCAGUACGCACGUUAAAUAACUUAUAUCUAAUGUGAAACAAAAAAAAACUUAUAUUUAAA